CUAGUAUUUGUUUACAUACAGUGAAAGCUGAGACUGUUCGUUUAGGCUAGUUUAGGCUGUUUUUAUUUCUGAAAACAUGGCAACAGAAAUUGAGACAUUGGCAUUUUUCGAAGAGCAACACUAUGAUCGGUAUGAGUACUACAAUAUGAAUGAAUACUCGUGUCAUGCACGAGGGAAAGGAAGAACAAAAAGGGAGAUUGAACUGAACACCAAUCGCCAUUCCCCUGCUGGGCAUGAGCGGAAAAUUGCAGAAAAAUAUCAUAACAGCGAGAUAAAACGCAGAAGAACAAAAAGUUGUUCUUAAUGGAUACCCUACAGUGUUGAUGUUUGCACAACGGAAUCACGGACUGAAGAGAUGACCGUACUGUACCCUCCUUGAACUACUGGUUCAACUACUUGGUUUCCUGUCCCAAGAAUGGAGCUUGGAGACUGUGAUGCAUCUUUGAAUCCUUAAAUCCUGUUCCUGAGAAAAUGUCCUAUUCGUUUUCCGCUUCAUGUGACUAAUGUGGCCUGGAAUGGGCAGGUGUCACAAAGGUGUACAAGAACAGGCAAUAUGCAUGGGUGUAAUUUAAUCUAGCUGACAUACUUCCUGGAAUCUAGAAGUUUCUGACAAGGUCAAAUGAUUUGUCAAUAAAUAAAGAAUACAUUGAUAAAUUAA